rnacentral:rRNA from 1 species
GUGGGGAAUCUUGCGCAAUGGGCGAAAGCCUGACGCAGCCAUGCCGCGUGAAUGAUGAAGGUCUUAGGAUUGUAAAAUUCUUUCACCGGGGACGAUAAUGACGGUACCCGGAGAAGAAGCUCCGGCUAACUUCGUGCCAGCAGCCGCGGUAAUACGAAGGGGGCUAGCGUUGCUCGGAAUUACUGGGCGUAAAGGGCGCGUAGGCGGAUCGUUAAGUCAGGGGUGAAAUCCCAGAGCUCAACUCUGGAACUGCCCUUGAUACUGGCGAUCUUGAGUGUGAGAGAGGUAUGUGGAACUCCGAGUGUAGAGGUGAAAUUCGUAGAUAUUCGGAAGAACACCAGUGGCGAAGGCGACAUACUGGCUCAUUACUGACGCUGAGGCGCGAAAGCGUGGGGAGCAAACAGGAUUAGAUACCCCAGUAGUCC